rnacentral:rRNA from 1 species
AGCGAACGCUGGCGGCAGGCCUAACACAUGCAAGUCGAACGAACUCUUCGGAGUUAGUGGCGGACGGGUGUGGCACCCGUGGGAACGUUCCCUUUGCUUCGGAAUAACUCAGGGAAACUUGUGCUAAUACCGAACGUGCCCUUCGGGGGAAAGAUUUAUCGAGCUUGGAGCGGCAGUCGUCGGAUUAGCUAGUUGGGGAGGUAACGGCUCACCACGGCGACGAUCAGCAGCUGGUCUGAGAGGAUGACCAGCCACACUGGGACUGAGACACGGCCCAGACUCCUACGGGAGGCAGCAGUGGGGAAUCGUGCGCAAUGGGCGAAAGCCUGACGCAGCCAUGCCGCGUGAAUGAUGAAGGUCUUAGGAUUGUAAAAUUCUUUCACCGGGGACGAUAAUGACGGUACCCGGAGAAGAAGCCCCGGCUAACUUCGUG